AAUCGGAAUUACUGGGCGUAAAGCGUGCGCAGGCGGUUAUGCAAGACAGAGGUGAAAUCCCCGGGCUCAACCUGGGAACUGCCUUUGUGACUGCAUGGCUAGAGUACGGUAGAGGGGGAUGGAAUUCCGCGUGUAGCAGUGAAAUGCGUAGAUAUGCGGAGGAACACCGAUGGCGAAGGCAAUCCCCUGGACCUGUACUGACGCUCAUGCACGAAAGCGUGGGGAGCAAACAGGAUUAGAUACCCUGGUAGUCAAGGGCG
rnacentral:rRNA from 1 species